rnacentral:rRNA from 1 species
CCUACGGGGGGCUGCAGUGGGGAAUAUUGGACAAUGGGGGGAACCCUGAUCCAGCCAUGCCGCGUGUGUGAAGAAGGCCCUCGGGUUGUAAAGCACUUUCAGUGAGGAAGAACGCCUGGUGGUUAAUACCCAUCAGGAAAGACAUCACUCACAGAAGAAGCACCGGCUAACUCCGUGCCAGCAGCCGCGGCAAUACGGAGGGUGCGAGCGUUAAUCGGAAUUACUGGGCGUAAAGCGCGCGUAGGUGGCUUGAUAAGCCGGUUGUGAAAGCCCCGGGCUCAACCUGGGAACGGCAUCCGGAACUGUCAAGCUAGAGUGCAGGAGAGGAAGGUAGAAUUCCCGGUGUAGCGGUGAAAUGCGUAGAGAUCGGGAGGAAUACCAGUGGCGAAGGCGGCCUUCUGGACUGACACUGACACUGAGGUGCGAAAGCGUGGGUAGCAAACAGGAUUAGAUACCCUGGUAGUC